UGAUAUCCACCUGGAUCAGUUAAUGCACUGGAUCCCAUUAGAACUCCAUAGUUAAAAACGCUCUGGCUAGAGUAGUACUGGGAUGGGUGACUGGCCAGGAAGUCCUAGUAUUUUAUAUGCU
rfam:Picea glauca, whole genome shotgun sequence.